rnacentral:rRNA from 1 species
UGGGGAAUCUUGCACAAUGGGGGCAACCCUGAUGCAGCGACGCCGCGUGAGCGAUGAAGGUUUUCGAAUCGUAAAGCUCUGUCCUAUGGGAAGAUAAUGACGGUACCACAGGAGGAAGCCCCGGCUAACUACGUGCCAGCAGCCGCGGUAAUACGUAGGGGGCGAGCGUUGUCCGGAAUUACUGGGCGAAAAGGGUUCGCAGGCGGCAUGGCAAGUCCGAUGUAAAAGGCGAAGGCUCAACCUUCGUAAGCAUCGGAAACUGUCAAGCUGAAGUGAAGGAGAGGCAAGGGGAAUUCCUAGUGUAGCGGUGGAAUGCGUAGAUAUUAGGAGGAAUACCGGUGGCGAAGGCGACUUGCUGGACAUCAACUGACGCUGAGGAACGAAAGCGUGGGUAGCAAACAGG